GCAGAGUUGCAACACCUGGUGGAGGCUGAACAGUAGAAGACCCAGUUCACUGUACCAGUGCAUCACCUCAUGGAGCUAUGUUGGGGUAACGUGUAGAGAAGCCAGGAAUCGCUUAGACGCUCACACUGAAAACUGCGUCUCUGGCCGUGUGGACCGCUUCGCUGACACGACUCUUGCCAUUACCAGGUCUAUGGCCACACCACCCCAAAUGUGCCCGAUCUCGUCUGUCUCCUGUGCAGUGGGCUCCACUGUGGGUCACGGAGCCUCGCAGCUGGCAUGAAAGGCCCUCUCAUUCUCAUUCCCACCUCACUCCAAGAUGUUCUCUUGUGGGAGAGGAAGAAAUGAGAUGCGUUGGAGACUGCAUUAUGUGUUCCAGCUAGUCACUGGGCCUCCCAGCGAGAGGACUACAUUGUCCCAAGCCACUGAUACCAGGUCACUAGCCUUGGUCAUCAGAAGAAAACCUGGUCUCUGUUACUCAGUCUUAGCCAGAAGCAGACAUCAGAACUUCGUGUUCGAAGGCAACUAAAUUCGGAUUAAAUUGCCGGCCUUGUCCUUAAGGCCUGUGUGACCUCAGUCAAGCUCUCCAAACUGCCCGAGCCUUGGUUUAUUUUCCGUUAAACUCUUCCUCAACGUGAUUCCUGAGGGGAGGCGGGAGACGUGUGGGGCAUAUGGGAGAGAGUUAGGCUGGAGGCCUGGGCAGCUUGGAUGUGGGUACUGGACACCACACCACAAUCGGCUGAUGCAACCCGGGUCUAGCCUGUCAUCAGACCUGCACUGCACUCGGAUCUAACCCGGAUGUAGCCUGUCAUCAGACCUGCGCUGCACUCGGAUCUAACCCGGGUCUAGCCUGUCAUCAGACCUGCACUGCACUUGGAUCUAACCCGGAUGUAGCACAUGCGCUCUCCUCUGCACACGGCACCAGUCGUUACAUGGCUCAGCAGUCUGCCCUCCUUUAAACCUUUACCAUACAUAGACUGUUUGUACCUCUAAGACACUCCCCCUCCCUAUACCCUUAUAAAAAUCACUAAACCCCGCCCUGGGGCUCAGUUUCUCUGGUUCCCUCUCUCUUUCUUUGUCAGGCCAGCAAACCUCGCCUGGGAGCGCUCCCAAUAAAGGCUCUCCAUUUCUAUUUUUUCAUGUGGUCAGCCCAUUCGUUACGAAGAGACAAAGGUAAAGCAACAAUGAAGCCGCCAGGUCCAGGACUCGAACCGUGGUUGGCCAUGUGAGAAUCUAGCGCCAUUAACCGUCAUGCCACCUGCCGGCCCCACAUAUGCUUUCUUACACAAAGGUGCUCUCCACACACACACACACACACACACACACACACGCACAACUUCUGCACUUUGCUUUUGCACUUACUUUGUUUUGGGCUCUCUCACCAGUUUCGCCUGGUGUAGUGAGCACUGUCA